ensembl:lncRNA
CCUUUCAGCUCAGCUCUGCGGUUCCCCUGGUGUCUGGAGGACUGAACAUGCAACUUAUGGACAUUCCAUGUUAGGGGUCGAAUUGGAACUACAGCUGCCAGCCUACAGCAAUGCUGGAUACUUAACCCACUGAGCGAGGCCAGGAAUCGAACCUGCAUCCUCAUGGAUACCAGUCAGAUUCAAUACCAAUGAGCCACAAUGGGAACUCCUGCAUUUGCAUCUCGAAAGCAGCACCUAAAUACUCCAUUUGUUGAAAAGUAUUUGUUGAUCUGUCUCAUUUACACUUUUAAUAUAACCGUCACUCUAAGGAUGAGCCAGAUUCUGAGCUAAACACCUUAGCAGGUUGACUUUCUUAAAUCCCCCUGACAGGCUCCUUAGGAUUUCUCCAUGCAUUACACAGCUUAUAGGAUUAGGAGGGGGCUUUGCUGAAGUAAAUGAUGGCACAAAGUCCGUGUGGGUGGAGGAGACACGGCAGGGGACAGAGAGGGGUUUCCGGUGGUGGAUAGAACUAGCAGGGAGCAUUAUCUGCCCUUGAAGGCCAGCCUCUACCCAGGAAGACACCUGGGAAGGUGUGCUGCCACCUUGCAAACUCCAUAGGCAGUCAGCCUGGACGCCAGGCUCUCUAGUGGGUCUGUGGUCCCAGCACACACACGUGGGCAUCAGGGAGAAGGCUUGUCUCUUAGGGGAGGCCCUUGGAAGGCUUGUAUUCAGUGACAUCCAAGAGGUACCUGUAAAAGACCAUCUGGGGAAAGGGAGUGGUUGUACUUGACUCUUGUUGUGGCUUUAAGGAGUGAGGUCCCCUGACACCAGCGGGUGGAAAGCAACUGCAGUACUGGCUGAAUUCCUGUCUGAUGGGAUGCUCCUCAGAAGAUUGCCUCUCUCUUUUUUGUGCCCAGAGAACUUGAGAACAGAGAGGUUGCUCCCCCAGCCAGUACCCGAUACACUUUAUCUGAAAUGUCCAAGUUUUUGAGCUUCUUGCUGGUUUAUCAUUCCCCAGAGAUUCUAGAAAUCUGACCUGUGCAGGUAGAGAGAAAAAGGCCUAUGAGUGGAUAGGAAACAAAACCAUGACAACUCAGUGGAAGGGUCUCUGAACAGAGGGGUCUCAGAACAGCGGUGGUGGAAGAGACAGGAGAGAACUUGAGUAAUAGCUUCUAAGAUCCUUCCUGGUACAGUUUCAAAUACCCUGCGGGGCGAGGGCGAGAAGCCCUGGAGAGAUUGUAUCUUCAGGCGUCAUCUCUAUUAGAGCAUCAUCUAGCCAUCACUGCUCUACGAUACACACGCAAGUUGUUAUGAGGAUAAAUACUAGGAGUUCUCAUCUCAAGGGAGGAAGGUUCAUUUUCGUUUUUUUCUUUCUUUUUUUUUUGUCUUUUUGCUAUUUCUUGGGCCACUCCCAUGGCAUAUGGAGGUUGCCAGGCUAGGGGUUGAAUCGGAGCUGCAGCAUCUGGCCUACACCAGAGCCACAGCAACUCGGGAUCUGAGCCACGUCUGCAACCCACACCACUGCUCACGGCAAUGCCAGAUUGUUAACCCACUGAGCAAGGCCAGGGACUGCAACCUCAUGGUUCCUAGUCGGAUUCGUUAACCACUGCGCCACGACGGGAACUCCAUUUUCACUUUUUUCUUUUCUUUGUAUCUGUAUGAGAUGAUGGCUGUUAACUGCACUUGCUGGUCAUCGUUUCACAGUAUUCGUAAGUCACACCUUGAUGCUGUCCACCUUAGACUUAUGCCGUGAUACAAGGUAAUGACAUCUCCGUAAAACUGGAGGGAAGAAAAUGAAGCCCAGGAAGAGGGAGAGGAAGUGACUCAAACUCUUGCGGUGUCCGGUCUGACCAAGUUUUACCCUCACUUUGAAAAACUGAAUUUCUCUCUUUUGUAUUCAGUGUGGCUAUAGCCCACUGCUGGAAAUAUGUACUUCACAUGUCUUCCCCUCCCAGUGGCUUCCUUUUCAUCCCCUGAUAGUGUAUUUGGUGAAUCAAUUUUCCAAAACAGUCCAAUUUAUUAUUUGUUCUCUUUUGUAUGGUUAGUGGCUUUGUGUCCUGUUUGAGGUCUUUGCCUUCCUUAAGACCUUGAAAAUUUUCUGCUUUGCUUUCUUCUAAAAGACCCAUUGUUUUGCCUUCCCUGUUUAUCUGUCACACAUCUGGAACUGAUCUUUUUUGCAUAUGAGGUGAGGAAGAAGCCAAAAUUAAAUUUUUCCUUAAGGGAAACUCCUGUUGAAUCCGCCCCAUGCCCUGUUACAAACCCUGUGACCAUAUCUGUGUGACUCUAUUCCUGGUCUCUCUGCUCAUUCUGUUGGCUAAUUGGUCUGUCUUUACACCAAUUCCGCAUUACUACAGCUUUAUAAAAAGUCUUGACAAGAGGUGCCGAAAAUCUUCCACCUUCAUUUUUAUUUUUCAAGGUUGCCUUAUCUAUUCCUGACCUUUUCUGUUUCCAAGUAAAUUUUUGGAAUCGGCUUGUCAACAUCAACACAACAACCAAUGCCUGCUGGGAACUUAGGUCUCCCAGAAUGUACAGAUCAGCUGGGGGGUGGGGGGACCGGAAUGUCUGCAGUCCUGCACCUUCCAGACCACGACUGUAAUAAAGUCCUUGGCUUAUUAGGGUAUUCUUCAUUUCAUUUUAUUUUAUUUUAUUUUUUAUUUAUUGUAUUUUUUUAGCGAUGCCAUGGUAUGCAGAAGCUCCCAGGCUAGGGAUCGAACCUGCACCACAGCCAUAACCUGAGCCACAGCAGUGAUGACACUGAGCCACCGAGCUCACUUAACCCCUGAACCACCAGGGAACUCCCAGGGUAUUUUUUAUUUUAAACAACGUUUCACAGUUCUUCUGUAGUGACAUUGUACAUGUUUUGUUAGAUUCAUUCCUCGGUGUUUCUCAAUGCUUUUGUAAAUGGUGUCUUGUUAAACUUUUAUCCUUUUACUAUUACACUGUAACACAAUUUUUUAAUGUAACAGCAAAAUUUUCAUAAUUUUAUUAUGAAAAUGCUUAAACACGUGGAAAAUUAGAUCAAAUUGACAGUGAACACGUGUAUACCCACCACCUCAGUUCCAAGUUAACACUUAACCUCGCUUGACUUUUCCCGUGUUUAUCCAUCUCCUCAUCGUUCUAUUUGCCACCCGUCUCUCUUCUUUUUGGAAACACUUGGAAAUAGUUUCAGACAUUAGCAUUUCUUCCUAACUACUUCAGUGUGCAUUACUGUCUAAUAGACUUUAGUAUUUUUUCGUGUGUGGUUCCUUUAUUUCUUUUGAGGUAAAAUUUUCACACAAUGAAAUGAAUAAACCUGAAGUAUAUGAUUUGAGGUUGACAAAUGCCUAGACUCAUGCAGUUCCAAUCCCUGUAAUUACACACUCUGCUCUCUGCCCGUGUUCCUUCAUGCCUCCUGCCAGUCUCUAACCUCAUUUUUCUAGAGGCACCCGCUGUUCUGAAUUUCCCAAGAGCUUUUGCCUGUGUCAGACAUUCGUAUAAAUGAAAUAAAACAAUUGGUAUGUAUGUAA